UCGGCUCCUUGUUAAAUCUAUCAAACAUACCACUAAAAAAAAAAAAUCUUAAAGAAUGAUUAAAUAAAUUUAACCAAGCAGUAGAAGUGGAAUUGAAAUUGGCAGAGUUAGUGCGACGACCCAAUCACCUGUCUCCAAUAACCGCCUCAAAAACUGUCGAAGCCCAUUGGGCACUUGCAAAGCCCAACAGUUGGAGUUCCAGCUCACCCACUAGCCGUUAUUACGCAGGCUAAUUUUUCAACGUGCGAGAAACCAGAUUUCCUUUUUCCCGAAGACUAUUUAGGGAAUUUCCUCUCUUGAGCC